GAUGAACGCUGGCGGCGUGCCUAAUACAUGCAAGUCGAGCGAACGGACGAGAAGCUUGCUUCUCUGAUGUUAGCGGCGGACGGGUGAGUAACACGUGGAUAACCUACCUAUAAGACUGGGAUAACUUCGGGAAACCGGAGCUAAUGCCGCAUAAUAUUUUGAACCGCAUGGUUCAAAAGUAAAAGACGGUCUUGCUGUCACUUAUAGAUGGAUCCGCGCUGCAUUAGCUAGUUGGUAAGGUAACGGCUUACCAAGGCAACGAUGCAUAGCCGACCUGAGAGGGUGAUCGGCCACACUGGAACUGAGACACGGUCCAGACUCCUACGGGAGGCAGCAGUAGGGAAUCUUCCGCAAUGGGCGAAAGCCUGACGGAGCAACGCCGCGUGAGUGAUGAAGGUCUUCGGAUCGUAAAACUCCGUUAUUAGGGAAGAACAUAUGUGUAAGUAACUGUGCACAUCUUGACGGUACCUAAUCAGAAAGCCACGGCUAACUACGUG
rnacentral:rRNA from 1 species